UUAGUAGAGGUUGCGCAAUUUAUGAGUAUGCGGCUGGAUGUGUUCAGGCACAGCUGAUGGCCGUCAGAAAGGGGAGAGCGCCGAAAGGAAAGAACACCUGAAAGUUCUGGCCUUGGGCAUAAGGUUAAGAGCCGUAUGACUGUCACCGGAGAUUCGGUGGGGCGCUAUCUGAA
rnacentral:ncRNA from 1 species